CAGGACGAAUUUCGUGUCUAAUGGCCAAAAUGUCUGCCAGUUGAUUCAAAUUGGACUUGGCAAGUUGGUUGAGAAGAGUCGGCAGUGGACCGCAUUUGCAAAAACUCCCUUCCGUGUAUUUUUGUCAAAUGGGUCCUAAAGUAUAUGCUUUUUCUAUGGUUUAUCCCAUGGCUGGGGCUGGAAGCCAUGGUUUUUUUUUUUUUGAAUGGUUCUUUUAGGAUUCUGGAGUUGGUGAAAUCAAAUGUGAUUGGUUUUGUAGAAGAGUUCUUUAAUAGUAGCCCUAGUCCUAAAGAAGAAUGUGUAGAUAGCCUAAAGGACAUAAGAUCCAUAAGCUUGAUUGGUGUCUCUUAUAAAAUCUCGGCGAAGAUAUUGGUCUCGAAGUUUUCAUUGAGUUCUUGGUCGUAACAUUUUCAAGGAACAAGGAGCCUUCAUUUGAGGGGAAAACAAAUUCUAAAUAGUGCCUUGAUUGUCAGCACUGGUGCCUGGUUGAAGGAAGGAAAAAAAGUAUAUUGAAAAGUCAUAGGACCACGUUGAAUGUGGUUCUCUGUGGGCUAUAUGUUAAUGUGGUCUUCUGUUGGCUAUAUGCUGAUGUGGUUCUCGGUUCUGUGGGCUAUAUGUUGAUGCGGUUUGGGUUUUGGCCUGAGGUUGAGAACUGGAUGCAAGUUUGCAUAAGACAGUUGGGUUUGUUAUU